rnacentral:rRNA from 1 species
AACGAACGCUGGCGGCAGGCCUAACACAUGCGAGUCGAGCGCGCCUUCGGGUGAGCGGCGGACGGGUGAGUAACGCGUGGGAAUAUGCCCUUCUCUACGGAAUAGUCCUGGGAAACUGGGGGUAAUACCGUAUACGCCCUUUGGGGGAAAGAUUUAUCGGGGAAGGAUUAGCCCGCGUUGGAUUAGGUAGUUGGUGGGGUAAUGGCCUACCAAGCCGACGAUCCAUAGCUGGUUUGAGAGGAUGAUCAGCCACACUGGGACUGAGACACGGCCCAGACUCCUACGGGAGGCAGCAGUGGGGAAUCUUAGACAAUGGGGGCAACCCUGAUCUAGCCAUGCCGCGUGAGUGAUGAAGGCCUUAGGGUUGUAAAGCUCUUUCAGCUGGGAAGAUAAUGACGGUACCAGCAGAAGAAGCCCCGGCUAACUCCGUG